rfam:Trachymyrmex cornetzi contig31745, whole genome shotgun sequence.
AAGGGGCCUUAUCGAAGCUAUGGUAUUUACAAUAUAAAGAAUAUCGUAGUCAAAAAAUGGCCAAUAAUAAAGUAAGUUCUUCAUUUUGGUCACAGAUUGAGUUGCAUAUUCCUUCUGUAUUACCCAAGAAGAGUACAAAA